rnacentral:tRNA from 1 species
GUCCGCAUGGCCUAAUUGGAUAUGGCGUCUGACUUCGGAUGAGAAGAUUGCAGGUUCGAGUCCUGUCGCGGACG